rnacentral:rRNA from 1 species
CCUACGGGGGGCUGCAGUGGGGAAUAUUGGACAAUGGGGGAAACCCUGAUCCAGCGACGCCGCGUGGGUGAAGAAGGCCUGCGGGUUGUAAAGCCCUUUCGGUAGGGACGAAAGCUCUCGACCUAACACGUCGGGAGGUUGACUUAACCUACAGAAGAAGCACCGGCUAACUCUGUGCCAGCAGCCGCGGUAAUACAGAGGGUGCGAGCGUUAAUCGGAAUUACUGGGCGUAAAGCGCACGUAGGCGGCUUGGUAUGUCGGGUGUGAAAUCCCCGGGCUCAACCUGGGAACUGCAUCCGAAACUGCCUUGCUCGAGUAUGGGAGAGGGAAGCGGAAUUUCCGGUGUAGCGGUGAAAUGCGUAGAUAUCGGAAGGAACAUCAGUGGCGAAGGCGGCUUCCUGGACCAAUACUGACGCUCAGGUGCGAAAGCGUGGGGAGCAAACAGGAUUAGAUACCCCAGUAGUCC